CUCUCUCAAAAUUAUAUCAUCAUUAUGGGUAAAUUUACAUAAAAAAAAAAAAGAAACAGAAGAACUAUGAUUAGAAAUAAAAAUGUUAAAACUUUAAAGAAUAAAAAUAAAACGGAUAUUAUAAAUCAGGGGAGUAUUUUUAUAUUUCAUCAUUUAUACAUUUUCAAUUUCUCAUUGAGUUCUACAUCAUGUGUAGCAUGAAGAUGUAGCAAAAUUAAAGGAUACCAAGGAUGAAAUAAAAGCAUGUCGAUCCCCUUUGUACCUGACUUUUUGCAAGAACGUGCAUUCGAUGCAGUAUCUACUUUCUUAACAACGCAACUAGGCUACGUGUGGGAUUACGAGAAAAGAUUUGACAAUGUAAGCAAAGCUGUAGAGGCUCUCAAGAAUGAUAGAGAUGGGGUGCGUGAUAAAGCCGAAGAAGAUGAAGGACGGUAUGGGAGAGCUAUAUAUGAUAAUGUUGUAGAAUGGUUGGCUCGUGUGGAUGCAAUUGUUGCUAAAUAUGAAAAAUUUAAAGAAGAACAUGAUAAAAAUGAAGGAUAUGCACUUGCUUUUCCAUUUCAAAAUCUAGACAUAAGAUAUCAUCGCAGCAAAAAAGCAGAAGAUAUCAAAGAAAGGGUUGAAGAAUUGCAAAAUGAGAAGCAUGAUAGUAUAUCUCGUUGGCAGGGCCCGCCUUCUUCAAUGGGUUAUGCGCUUCCUUCUGUUGAAUAUGAAGAGCUUGAUUCAAGAAAACAAAAUAUGGAAGAUGUUAAAAAAGCCUUGGAAGAUUCGAGUGCUACAAUGGUUGGUGUUCACGGCCUAGCUGGUAUGGGAAAGACUACUUUGGUCAUAAAAGCUAUUAACACACUUCAAAAUCGAGAACCUAAGUUAUUUGAUAUGGUCAUUAUGGCAAAUGUGGGCAAAAAUCCAGACAUCAGAAAAAUUCAAGGACAGAUUGCUGACAUGCUCGGAAUAACAUUGCAAGAGGAGAGUGAGUAUGCAAGAGCUAUUCGCAUAAGAGAGAAAUUGAAGAAAGAAAAAGACACUCUUAUAAUCCUUGAUGAUAUGUAUACAAAAGUGGACUUGGAUAUGUUGGGAAUUCCAUCACAGGGUGAAGAUGACAAAAAGAAUCUCGUUCUCAAACAAGGAAUAAGAUCUUCUAAUCCCUCUGGAGCAGCUUUAACUAAGGCAGAGACAGAAAAUUUUGUUGGUGAUAAACAAAAUUUGGCAGAGACAAAAAAUUUUGUUGGUGAUAGACAAAAUUUGACAAGAUUAAAGUCAGGAAUAGAUGCUAACAAGACGAAAACAGAGAAACAAAUUAAAGACACCUCUAGUGGUUCUAGUAAAGCAGGGAAAGCAUCACAAGAGAAUAAAAAAGGAUGCAAGGUUUUGCUAAUUUCUGAGGCAAAACGAGUAUUGAACCAGAUGGAUGUGAAUGCAAGUUCAAUUAUCUCUCUAGAUGUCAUAAAUCCUAACGACGCCAAAAUAUUGUUCAAAAAUAAGGUAGGAAUAACAGAUGAGAAAAAUUCUGAUCUUGAACGGCUAGCCAUUGACAUUGCCAAGAAGUGUCACGGGUUGCCCAUGUCAAUAGUUACAACUGCAAAGGCAUUGAAAAAUCAAAGCCGCUCAGUUUGGGAGGAGACCCUUAACACACUUGAAAGACAAAAGCUUGCAGGAACACCUGAGUAUUCUACAAAGUUGAGUUAUGAGCUUCUAGCAAAUGAGGAGCUCAAGCUUAUCUUCUUGCUUUGUGCUUGUAUGGGUCAAGAUGCAUUGGUCUCAGACUUAGUGAGACUAUGCAUUGGUUUGGGUUUUCUUGAAGGUGUCUAUACAGCAAAGGAAGCCAGAGAUCAAGUGCAAAUGUUGCUUAUCCAUUUAAAAGAGUCAGGUUUGUUGUCUGACAGUUACUCAAAUGAUCGUUUCACUAUGCAAAAUCUUGUUCGCAAUGCAGCUUUGUUGAUAGCAUCAGAGAAUAAUGUGUUCGUGCUGGCAAAAAGAAAGCUAGAUGAAUGGCCUGAUGAUGAUAAACUUGAAAGGUACACUUCUGUUUUCUUACAUCAUUGUGAUGUCAACACUGAGGAGUUUCCUAAAAGUUUAAAAUGUCCUAAACUAAAAGUCUUUCAUUUUCACAAUAAUCAUCAACAUUUCGAAAUACCAAAUGACUUCUUCCGAGAAAUGAAAGAACUUAGAGUGUUGGUUCUGCUUGGCAUUGAUCUCUCCAAAAUGUCUUCAUCAAUGAAAUGCCUAACAAAACUCCGAAAGCUUUGUUUGGAGCAAUGCAUUAAUCUAGAUGAGGAAUUAUGCAACAGUAUUGGCACGUUCAUGAAGAAUCUAAGAAUUCUAAGCUUUUCUGGAUCUGAUAUUAAAAGCUUGCCUACUAAAUUGAAGGGUUUGUCAAAGCUGCAAAUUCUUGACUUAAGUAAUUGCUCCCAACUAAAAUCAAUUCAAGCUGGUGUAAUAUCUAGCUUGACUAAUUUGGAGGAGUUGUACAUGAGAAACACUUUGGUUGAAUGGAGGGUGGAUAACAGAGAGGAAAGUGAAAACAAAAAUGCUAGUCUUUCGGAGUUGGGACAUCUAAAUCAAAUAACAAAUGUUGACUUACAAAUCCCAAGUGUUGCCCAUUUGCCAGAAAACUUGUUCUUUGAUAAGCUGCAUAGCUAUAAAAUUGUAAUUGGCUCGUCAAGUACACAUUUGGAGCCAGAUUUCAAGAUUCCGGAGAAAUAUCAACUGUUGAGGUAUUUGGCGAUACUGGAGAAAAAGAUUGGCAUUCAUUCUCAGAAAGGGAUCAAAAUGUUGUUUGAAAGAGUUGAGAAUUUGUUGCUGGAAGAACUCAACGGUGUCCAAGAUAUCUUUUAUGCACUGAAUUUGAAAGGGUUUCCAUGUCUUAAGACUUUGUCUAUUGUGAGUACUUGUAGCAUUCGAUAUUUGAUCAACCCACAGGAGAGGAAGCAUCCCGAGAAUGCUUUUCCGAAACUGGAGACAUUGCACCUCUACAAGCUCGAUAACAUGGAGCAACUAUGCUCUCGUGUGUCAUUUUCAUCCUCCUCAUUUUGUAAACUAAAAGUUGUCAAGAUUAAGCUUUUGGGUUUAUUAAAGAAUGUCUUUGUAAUGUCUAUGGUCAAGCAUUUGGUUGCUCUUCAAACAAUUGAAAUUUUAGAAUGUAACUCUCUAAAGGAGAUUGUCUUUGCGGAAGAUACACAAGAUUCUAACACGUCGAAGCCUCUUAAGUUUCAAGAAUUACGCACUUUGACAUUAAAAUCAUUACCUGAGUUUCAUGGAUUCUGUUCCAUUUCAUCUACAGCGCAACAAAAAGUAUUGUUCGAUGAGCAGGUUGAAUUCUCAAAAUUAGAGAGAUUGGAGUUGUCCUCUAUCCAAAUCCACCAAAUAUGGAAUGGCAAAAAUCCUCCUUUUGGAAAAUUGGUACACUUGGAAGUGAAUGGUUGUGGUAAUUUAAAAAGUUUGUUAACAUUGUCUAUGGCUAUAAAUAUGAAGACUCUCCAAAGCCUAUCUGUCAGCGAGUGUGACAAAAUGAGGCUUAUUCUUCUCAAAGAGAACAGCAAUGGUACUGAAAGUGAAAAGAAGGUUACCAUCUUUCCAAAUUUGAAGAGUAUUAAAGUGAAAAGCAUGAAGAGUUUGAGUGGGAUAUGUGAUAAUGAAUUUGAGCUCCCAAAAGACUCUUUUGAAAAGUUGGAGAGCCUAGCCAUUGAUGAGUGUCAUAAACUGGUCCAUGUUUUCACUUCUAAUGUGGUGGGAAUAUUUCAGCAUGUAAGCAACUUAAGCGUUACCAAUUGUAAGUCAAUGAAAGCUAUAUUUGACCCAGCAGCUUGGGAAAAUAAGCGAACUUCUAAGGAUGCAACAUCCAAGUUGCAAGAUGUUCAUUUUGAAUCACUUCCAAAAUUAGAGCAUAUGUUCAACAUGAAGAAAAAACAGCUUCAAGAGAUACUUAAGUUAAACAAUUUGCAUAAGAUAUGGGUUCAAGAUUGUAAAAGGUUGGAAAACAUAUUUUCUACUCCUGUGGCCAAAACACUUGAAAAUAAUCUUGAAGAGCUUGUGGUCUCGGAUUGCUCUCAAUUGAGGGAAAUUGUUGCCAAGAAAGAAGAAGAUGCCAGCAGUCUUACUAAAUUUAACUUUUUGAAACUGGCAACCAUCAAAUUUUUGAGACUACCAAAAUUCAGGAGUUUCUAUCCAGGAGCUUAUGGAAUAGAAUUUUCAGCACUGAACAACUUGUCUAUUGAACAAUGUGACAACUUGGAACCAUUCAGAGAAGAAGAAAUCAUAGAUGAACAAACAAAGCCUGCCCUCUUUCCUGAAAUGGUAAUGAACAAUUUGAAGUCAAUUCAAAUUGAGUCAAGACAUGCAACGUCAUCGACUAACUGUGAUUAUCGAAGGGACAAUCUUGAAGAGCUUCACUUAUCUAGACUGAAUGAUACUAAAAUUCUGUAUUCUUUCCUUUAUAGCAAUCCUAAUAUGAAGAAUCUAUGCUUGAAUGAUGCUUCUUUUAAAGAAUUGGUGCCUCUUGAAAGGCUUGCUAAGAUUGAAAGCUUAGGUGUUGUCCCACAGCUGAAAAGCUUGAAGUUAACAGAUCUACCAGAUCUUGAGAUGAUUGGCUUCGAAAGAGACCCAAUUCUUCAAAGGAUAGAGACAUUGGUUUUUCAAAAUUGCCCGAGUUUGAAAACCAUAGCACCUUCUAAUGUAUUUUUCUCUCACUUGACAAAGCUUGAAGUGGUUGACUGUAAAACAUUAAAAUAUUUAAUGUCACCAUCAACUGCUAGAAGUUUGGGUCAACUCAACACCAUGAAGGUAAAUAAUUGUGAAUCUCUUGCGGAAAUUGUAUCAGAGGAAGGACAAGAAGACAAUAAAAACAAUGAUGACAUCAUUUUCAAACAAUUGACGACAAUUGAACUUGCGUCUCUCAAGCGCCUCGAAAGCUUUUGCAGGUCCAAGAGUUGUGCGUUUCAGUUUCCAUCAUUAGAGAAAUUUGUGGUAAGUGCUUGUCCCGAAUUGAAAAGUUUCUCCCAACAAGAACACAUGAAACCGCCGCCCAAGUUGGGAAAAGUAUAUGUUGUCCAUGAAAAAGAGAAGGUGGAAGCGUACUGGACAAACAAUUUACAAGAAACAAUACGAGAUAUAUUCAACAAAAAGAUAUUUUUCAAAGGCAUGGAGAAAUUAAGUGUUUCUGAUCAUCCUCAUCUACAACAACUAUGGACAUGCAAAGAAGCAGGCCUUCAACAAGAAUUGUUUAACAAUUUGGGAACUUUGAAGCUGAGUGGUUGUGCGUUCAAGCCAUACGCAAUUCCAUCAAAUAUUCUUUUAUGUUUCAAGAACCUAACAGAAUUGGAAGUGGAUAGAUGCUACUACAUAACAGGAAUUUUUGAAAUGAAUGAUACUGAGAUCAAGGAAACAUCGUUCCAACUGAAGAAGCUAACUUUGAAAUGGCUUCCAUAUGUGACACAUGUGUGGAACCCGGAAAAACAAGGAAUUCUCAGCUUCAAAAGUCUACAAAUAGUGACUGUCAAUGGCUGUGAGGAUUUGAGAACUCUAUUUCCUAUAGCCUUGGCCAGAGAUCUCAACAAGCUUGAGGAACUUGAUGUUACAAGUUGUGAUGAGUUACCCAACAUUGUUGAAGCAGAAGAAGGUGGAACUGUUGAUGAACAUCUUGUGUUUCCUUGUUUAACCACAUUGGCAUUGUGUUAUUUGCGAAAUUUUACUGGCUUUUGCUCUCAGAAGUUCACUCUGGAAUGCCCCGAGUUAAAUUGCUUAAAGGUAUAUGAUUGCAACGAUCAACUGGAGCUAUUUCAGAGUCAACCAGAGGAAAACCAAAACAGCACUUCAACUGCUAAGCAACUACUUUUCACCAAUAUAAAGGAUAUUUCCAAGAUGGAAAAUAUGACCCUGAAUUGGAGACACACUCAAGCUUUAAGUACAUGGUUGUCAAAAUUGAAUAACGAAAAUCUUGAGAGUUUGAAUGAACUUUACCUUCUUGAUGAUGAUGAUGGGAAAAGGAACUCUAAUGUGACAGUUGAAUUAUUUGAGAAGACAACCAACUUGGAAAAUGUGACAGUUGAAUUAUUUCAUUUAUUUGAGAAGUCACCCAACUUGGAAAGACUGACAGUAAGCUAUUAUUACCGUGAUGAAACCCUCAAAAAUAUAUUGCCCUGCCAUGAUAAUGCUAAUAAUAAGGAGAUUCUUGGAAACUUGAAAGAAUUGAACCUAUCCUACUUAAAUGAGUUGAAAUCCAUCGGUGGGGUAGAAUACUUGUCAAAGCAGCUGCGUCUAUUACAUGUUUGUGAUUGUCCAAAAUUGACAACAAUAGUGCUACAAUCUUGCUCCUUUCUGAAAGAACUGCACAUAGAAUCAUGUAAUGCAAUGCUGCGUCUAUUCACAUCUUCAACAGCGAAAAUGCUACUACACCUUGAGGAGUUGCAAGUUGAGAAGUGUUAUUCAUUGAAAGAAAUCGUGGGGGAAGAACAGCAGAGUGAGACGACGGAACACGUUAUUGAAUUUAAGCAGCUACGGAGGAUAAUCCUUCGAUCUUUGAGAAACCUGAAAUGCUUUUAUUCAGGGAAUGUCACUUUGAUGCUACCCUCUCUCGUUCAACUGCACAUAGUGGAUUGCUCCAAGAUGAAAGUUUUCUCUCACGAAAAUGUGAGCGCUUCUAAAGAGAUUCAAGUUUCUUGCAACUACUCAAGUUUCUUCCACCAUGAUCUUAAUGCCGCUGUAGUAUUGCAGUCUCUAAGUAAUAAUAAGGAAUCUCUUGAUCUUGGCGAUCACCCAAAGCUAAAAGAUUUAUGGCUUGAUAAAAUGCAUAUCCUAGAUGAGUCCUACUUUCCUGGUUUCAAUUUAGAAAGUCUAGCGGUGGAAGGGUGUGGUGAAUUCUUUACAACCGCAAUACUACCUUCUCAUUUACUUCCCUUCCUCAGUACAUUACGAGUGUUGAAGGUGCGCAGAUGCAAUUCUGUUGAGGCCAUAUUUGAAGUCAAAGAGAAUGUUUGGAAUAAGGAUCCUGAAGGAAAGCUCAGUCUUCCAGAUUUAAUGCAGGUUAUUGUUGAUGAAUGUGCAAGUAUAAAAUCGGUGUUUCCAGAAUCAGUUGACAAGGGUAACAUACAAUGGUUAGAAGUGAAAAAUUGUGCAGAGUUAGUUGAAAUUGUUGCCGGAGAUCAUGUAGCCAAACAGGUUAGCAUCUUCUCCACGCUAUCUUCUCUGAAGCUGUGGAAUUUGCCAAAUUUGGAGUGUCCAUUACUACUAUCGCAUUUGCUACCUUCCCUUCAUAAAUUACAAGAGUUGGUGGUUGGAAAAUGUGGUUCUUUGGAGACUAUAUUUGAUGUGAAAGAUGCACCAACAAAUGAAGAAGAUACAAAUAUGAUUACUGUUAUUCCUUUGAAGAAAUUGACUUUGAAGAAACUUCCAACUUUAAACCAUGUUUGGAAAGGAAAGCUCAGUCUUCCAAAAUUGGAGGAGGUUAUUGUUGAUGAAUGUGCAAGCUUAAGAUCCUUGUUCCUAGAAUCAGUUAACAUACAGAGGUUAGAAGUGAAAAAUUGUGCGAAGUUGAUUGAAAUUGUCACAAGAGAUGAACUAGUUAAAGAAGAAGAUGCAGAUAAACAGGUUAGUAUCUUCUCCAAGCUGUCUUGCCUGAAGCUGUGGAAUUUGCCAAAUCUGAGUUACAUUUAUCAUGGAAUGGAAGACUCUGAAUUUUCAUUAUCAAAUGCAUUACUACCAUGGCAUAUGCUACAUUCCCUUCAUAAAUUGGAAGAGUUGGUGGUUGGGACUUGUGGUUCCUUUGAGACAAUAUUUGAUGUGAAAGAUACAGACAUAAUUUCUGUUGAGGCCAUAUUUAAAGUCAAAGAUACACAAAUAGAUAUUCCUUUAAAGAAAUUGACUUUGGAGGAUCUGCCAACUCUAAGUCAUAUUUGGAAUAAGAAUCCUAAAAGAAGUAGUCUCAGCUUUCCAUGUCUGGAGGAAGUGGUUGUGAAUAGAUGUGAAAGCCUCACAAGCUUGUUGCCAGCAUCAUUACCCAUGUCUAACAUGAUAAAGAUAGAUGUGAAAAACUGUGAGGAAUUGGUUGAAAUUGUUAUAAAAAAUGAAGCAGACAAUGAAGAAACAAAUAAGGAGCUUGCUAUGUUCCCUAACCUAAUCAUAUUGACUCUGCACAAUUUGCCAAAUCUUACAUACAUUUGUACUGGAAUGGAAAUUCUAAAUUUGCCCGAGUUAAGAGAAUUUGAUAUUUCUCAUUGUAAAUUUGUAACAGAUUCCACUGCAAAGGUUGUUAACCCUCAGUUAGAGAGAGUAUCAAUAGACAUGGAAGGUGUGAUGAUGCUUGACAAAGGAAUGCUUCAUUUGGAUCCCGAAAACAUACAAUAUCUGAGAUUGCAGGGCUUUAAUGAUAUUGAUGACUCAGAUGCCGCAUCUGCCUUUAAUUUCUUCCCAAAGAAGGUGCCACUUCCCAAUAUUCAAAUGCUUGGGGUGGCCGACAGUGCUUUCAAAGAGAUAUUCCCCUUACAAAAGCCUGAGAUUAUUCAUUCACAGCUGCUUGUUCGAGAAUUGGAGUUGAGGAAUCUGCACAAGCUUGAAUCCAUUGGGUUACAGCACACCUGGGUGGCCUCCUCUAAUCUCACAUGGCUCAAAGUUGAAGGUUGUGCAUCUUUGAAGUAUUUGUUCACUUCUUCAACCACCAAAUGUCUUGUUCAACUUGAAGAGUUGCACAUAUCCAACUGUGAAGCACUCGAAAGUUUAAUGGUGGAUUAUCAACCACAUGAUGAUGAUCAUGAUGUCAUCAUAUUCAAAAAGCUUGAGAAACUGUCUCUUAGCCAAAUACCAAAACUUGAGAACUUUUACACUGGAAAGUCAACUUUGAAUUUCCCAUCUUUGGAAGAAGUCGAGGUUACUGAAUGCAACAGAUUGGAGUACAUGUUCACAUUCUCAACUGCCAAAAGCUUGAAAAAUUUGAAUGAGAUGAAGAUCUCCAAAUGUGAGUCAUUGGAAACAAUAGUUUUGGCAACACAAGAGGCAAACAAACAACAUGAAGAUCUCACAUUCUCAUACCUCAAAUAUCUGACUCUUAGUGAAUUGCCAAAACUUGAAAGUUUUUUCACCGGAAACUCAUCAACUUUGAAUUUCCCUAGGUAUGGGUUUGAAGUUUGCAUCAGUCAAUGCGAGAGCAUGAAAACUUUUUCACACGGUCACGUGGAAGUACGUAAAUUAUGGAAGGUGGAGAUAGAUGGAGUUCAUUGCUCAAAAAAGAAUCGUCUAAACGCUACAGUUAGUCAACAAUUUGAGAAUCGAUCGAAUAAAGCAGCAUUGAUGAGUUAAUUAGUACAAUCAUAAUUUAACAUGAAAUUUGUUGUUUGCUGAAAGAAGCUUAUUUUCAAUGCAUGCAUUUGUUACCAGUUAGCCUUGCAAAACUAGCAGUCUAAUCAAGGAGUAAUGGACGAAUAAAUAAGGAUGAUUCUAUGGGACACCAAAUGCAGGAGGAGGAUAUAAGUAGAUCCCAUCAAAACAACAAAUAUUCAUUUCUGUUUGAGUGUGGUGUGUUGUGCAUGAUAUAAAUAAAUCCCCUGUAUUAUUAUGCAGGAAGAAGUGUAUGAUUCCUUUUUAACUUUUAAGUGACAAAGCUGUAAGCUAAGUGUGUUUUAUGAAUAAAUUAUAUUUUGGAUUUUUAUACAA